GACCAAAUGGGGACGGGGAUAGACA
rnacentral:piRNA from 1 species